AUUUAUAUAGUAUAAUCAAAUUAUAAUUGAUUUCCAAUCAAAAGAUCUAUUUUAUAGUGUAAAUA
rnacentral:tRNA from 1 species